rnacentral:lncRNA from 1 species
AAAUAAUUAAAUAAUUACAUCAUAAGGAGACAACGAUCCAGUAACCAUAGUUGACUGGGAGACGAUGACCUAGACCUCUCAUGAACUCAUCGCGACAUCCUUCAUGCUCCUUUUCCUGCAGUACCUGUUCUUGACCUGGGAGGGAUGUGAGUACAGCAAGGGUGAGCUCACAUACGUUCAUCGCUCAACAAGUUGUGGGAAAUAAUGUGCAUGGGCUCACUUACGGCGGGGCUCAUGUAAAGUGUAUGGCUUACCAAAGAAGAUGCUUAAAACUGAGCAUUGCUUUUAAAGUUGGUCAAAGUUUUAUUAGCAGUUACUAAAUAUAAGUAGAUAGCAACCCAAUUAAAUAAGAGAUCGCAACUAAUAAUAAACCCACAUGCAAAUGAGAAAUUAAGUUUAAUUCCAUAAGUUAAUCAUGCGAGAGUCCUGAGUCGCUCUUGACCGUGAGCACGACUGAUAUACCAGUUUUACAAUCUACAGAGGUUGCACCAUUUACCCACAAGUCGUGUUACCCAUUUGCCAAGAGAUCACAACUUCUCAUUCAUCUCUGUCGAGGAGACGAGGUAGGGUAGCACUACGAGGCCUUUACAAAGUUCCAAUAGCUUCAGAAAACUCGCUACGGUUUCUGAGAAGAGCAAUAUAGGAAUCCUUCGUCCGAAAAGUCAUCGUAGCAUGAUCGACUCGAGAACCUCCCUAUAACGCAGCUCCUCUACCGUCACUGCCCCUUUCGGGUAAGGUAGUUCUCCACUAUCUUUCCUAAUUAGUCAGCCAAGGGCGUCCCAUUAUACCCUUGUGGUAGCACGAUUAUCUCAAGUUAAGCUCCAUGUUCCAAUUAACAUAAUGAUCUUGUCACGAACAAAUAAUUAAAACAACAACAUAAUUGAAACAUGAUCAUAUUUCAAAUGUAACAUUAAUCCCAAAACCAGGAAUAGCAAGUCUACCCAAUAAUUUAUUUGUCUGCAAGGGGUGGGGUAAACAAAUCUAGGAAAACCUAUUAGGUCUCAUCAAAUUAUCUUGAGCAUGUCACAGUGAUUAACAGAGAAUAUUAUUAGGUAAAGAAGAGUGAUCAAGGGCACAACUUGUCUUAGACUUGAGAUUCCUAGGUACUUCACCAAAUUGAUCUUCGGGGGACUCGUAACCUCGUUGCUACUCGUACCAAUACAUAUAAAUAGACAAGUAUAUAAAAGUAACAGUACACAAAACAUGAGAACAAACAACGUAAUAAUAUAUUCUAUGUGUUGCUACGAGAUCGCUGGUUCGAGAACCACUACAAUCGGAGUUGUGGUUGAAAAGAUACAGUUUUCCGAAGUUUUAUGUGUUUAAAUAAUAAAACUAUACUUUAUCAGUAUAAGUUAUGUGAGAAAAUAUAUAACUAUCUUUGAUCAACUUUAAUCUAAGUUAUCAUUUGAUUAGAGCUUACCUUUUAGUCAAAUUAUAACUAUAGGAUCAGAAUAUUACAUUAGUAUUAGAAAAACUAAUACAAUAAACAUAGAUUAAUCAAAUUAGUUACCUAAUUAUAAAAGUAAGUGAUAUCGUAUAAUUGUUGUUGUUACUGUGUAGACAAUAUUAUUAUGAAGUUAUCGCAAUUUGAACGGAUCAAAAAGGAUUUAAAAUGAAUUAAUUAUGAAUUAAACAAGUUUCUGGAAUUAUUUAUAUACCAGAAAUUAUUUUCUAGACUUUUAUUUACCUAAAUCAACGACUGUGAGUUGAUUAAUUUAUUUUCUAGACCUAAUUCCAGAAAGUACAAGGUUCGUUUUAUUAAUUUAUGGACUCACUUGUAAAGAUCUUUAUACUAACCGAGACUGCGGGUUGAAUAUAUAAAAGGGUAGGGGCUCUUAUGCAAAUUAAACACAGCGAAGGGGUAUGGGUGAGCAAGAGCCAUCCGAUCAGAUUUUGAUGGCUCGAAUUAAAAGUUGUCUAUACCGAACCGGUAUACAAUCCGGGUCGCCCAACGAGCGAUCGACGAUCCAGAUUUUUAAAAUGCCCAGAUCUAACCUCGAUCGCUCGCUUUUCGAUCACCGGUACAGAUCGAAUUCGGCUGAACACAUAUGACAAGCUAAUCCCUGUCGUUCACCACGAUCCAACGAUAGAUCCUCAUCCCCCACCAAACGACCGCGAACACGGCGGCGCGCUCAGGCCGACGGGGGCGCCAUCGCCGGUGAGAAACGCUCGGGUCACCUAACGUCCAAUUCACGCAGCGACCACAUCUACCCAGAGCGGAGGACUUAGUGGAUCAAAUCGUGGUAACAUACCAGGGGACGAGGCACUGUUGAACGCUGACCACGCCUGAUGGCGGUACUGCGGCGAGGUUGUAGUUCCGGCGAGCAAUUCCAUGACCCCAGUGGUUCCUCCCCGGCACCAAAGCCGCUGCAAUAUUCGCUGCGCUCUAAUGAAGACUCUCGGCUGUCACUUGAAGGCUAGAUGGCAGAAAUCACAAGAAUGCGGCUAUAGUGGCGAUGACGUGAUACUUUUCUCUUGGCUCGCAACAAUGGCAGGGCAAUGGCGGGGAUGCGGCGGUGCCGGC